rnacentral:lncRNA from 1 species
GCUCAGUGUCGUGGUUAUGUGAUGAGGUAAAAGACUAAGUUUGGUUCGGACUCAGUUUGAGGAGACAGUGCGAGAGAUUGAUGGAGGACUGGAUCACCUGCAGUGGAGAGGAAACAUCACUUCCCAAACCUCACUUCACUGACACUGAAAGCCUUUUGUUGCAGUAUGACCCAUCCAGGUUUCAGUCCCAUGACCGUCUGGAUGAUUCAGAGAGGGAACAGAAAACACAGAAUGAGGGCAGUGAGAAAUCUCUCCCACAGUCUGAAAUCCAGGUACUGGAGAGAGACGAAGCUGCUGAAACAGCCAGAAGAGAUUCUUCCACGCCUGUGGAUGAUAUUGUGGACAAGAGAGGAGAGAAUGUGGUCAUAAAAAACCUGAUGGAUGGUUCUACUAAACUUUGCAGUACCGUGAAUUCAGAUGUCAGCCUCAGCAGCUUAUUUCAGACAGGAACAAAUUUGCAUUCAGUUUUUAAAACCACAGCACACACUCUUGACUCUCUGAAGCAGCAGCGGAGCGCUUUAGCCAUGGAGGUGCUGUGGAUCCAGCAAGCCAUCAGUAGCAGAAAGAAAGUGAGAAAAGUUUAGGAUUUUUUUAACAUUAAUGUUUAUUUGUAGUUAUGUGUCUGUGUGUUUUAGUCUAUAAAAUUAUUCUGGUCUGCUUCUUUUGUAGUAUCUUACCCUCAAACUGAGAAUGGAUGUGCCACACUGAUACUGGACCAGUUCUAAAGUGGACCAACAUUUUAAAAGAUGUUUUCUCAUAAUUUCUGUAUUAAUGUAACAUGUACAGCACAGAAUGUUUGAGAAUUGUCGUAAAUUAUAUUUAUUUAUGAGCUUCUUUUGUCUAUAAAUGGGUUUGUGUUAAAGAAGAUUUUUAUUUUUGUACAAAUGGCAUUUCAGAAAUAAAUAUAAUAUGCACGUGAUGGACUUUUUCUGUAUCACACAAAGCCAGUACAGUUCAAUCCUAGAUGGACGUCAAAGGCUCCCACAACUUAAUCUUACAGAUCAGUCAAUGUAGUGAAAUAUCUCUCUAAUUAUUGACUUGUAUUGAGACUGUAUAACCACCUGAGAACUGAUCUCUUGAUGUUGCCUGCCCUGGUUUCUCUCAUGGUUUAUUUCUACGGUUAUCCAAAAUCAAGUUUUUCUUGCCUUGCCAGAGUUGCCUUUAGGGUACUAAAUAUAUUAUAUAGGCUACUACGUACAAUGUUGUAAUGUAUAAGUAGUAUCAUGCCAUGACUUUCAAUUAAAUCUUUGGUUUACCUAGAAUGGACGUCAAAAGGCUCCCACAACUUAAUCUUACAGAUCAGUCAAUGUAGUGAAAUAUCUCUCUAAUUAUUGACUUGUAUUGAGACUGUAUAACCACCUGAGAACUGAUCUCUUGAUGUUGCCUGCCCUGGUUUCUCUCAUGGUUUAUUUCUACGGUUAUCCAAAAUCAAGUUUUUCUUGCCUUGCCAGAGUUGCCUUUAGGGUACUAAAUAUAUUAUAUAGGCUACUACGUACAAUGUUGUAAUGUAUAAGUAGUAUCAUGCCAUGACUUUCAAUUAAAUCUUUGGUUUAAUUGUUUAUGGGUGAGUGAUAUAAUAAACAUUUAAACCCUGUCAGUUGUAUGCAUGUAUAUAUAUAUAUAUGUGUGUGUGUGUGUGUGUAUAAUAUAGUUAAUAUUAUUGUCUAGUGAUAUAUUUAAAGAUGGAUAUAAUCUAGUAGAAGCACCACUUUACCUGUACACAUACAGUAUAGGCACGUGAACCGCUGUAUAAAUGUGAAGUUGGAUAUAUACAGGAUAUAUCCAACUUUAUCUAAAUGCAGAGCCUUCAAUACACUCACGAAGCGAUAUGCACUAUAUAGCAAAUCCCAGCUAUUUAAUUGUUUAUAUUGGUGUAGGCCUAAGCUAUAUUGUCGCCCAGAGCUGGGUAGAUUACUUACAAACUCCAAAUUACAUGACAAAAGUUGUAGUUAGUAAGGUAAUCCUUUACAUUACACAUUUUAUUUUUGAUUAUUUUAGUAUUAUUUUGACCUAACUUGUUUAUCCUAUUUCUGAUUUAAAUAGGAUAAUCUUGUACCCUAUCAUCUAUCAUCUAAAAACAUAAAGAAAAAGAAAGUAUAUUUAAUUUGUUGUUUUUGACAAAAUGAAGUGCAUUUAACAUU